rnacentral:sRNA from 1 species
UUUUUAUUUAAAUACAUUUAUUUGAACCGGCCUGGGGGAGGCUUGAUGUUGAUGGGUUGGUGAUUAAAGCCUCCCAAAGCCAAUCCUUGGCAUGGCCUUUGGGACUCAAAACACAGGAUCUGACUGGUGGGCACAAUACCAUCUUGAACGCCCACAAAAAGGUUUGGUUUUGUUGCCAAAGGGCAGGUGGCUCCAGGCAGGGCUGAUGGUGGCAGGUGGGGGUGAGGAGCCUGCGGUGCUCCCCAGAAAAGGGGAAGGGGCAGUGGGGUGAGAAGGUCCUGGCUCCCCUUCUCCCGGCCUUCCUCUGCCUGGGGCCCACUGCAUCUGAUUGGCAGUCACUUCCCAUGAGGGCCUGGCCCACCCACUGCAGUUGCCCUAAGGAAAAAUAAAGCUGCCUUUCCCCUGUCCUGCUGUGGCCAAAGUGUCCUUGCUCCAGGUUCCUGCCCUGGGCUUGGGCCUCCGUCUGGGCUGCUCACAAGACCUUCUUUUUGGGAGACA